rnacentral:rRNA from 1 species
GAUGAACGCUGGCGGCGUGCCUAAUACAUGCAAGUCGAGCGGACGGACGAGGAUCUCUCCUCUCUGCAGUUAGCGGCGGACGGGUGAGUAACACGUGGAUAACCUGCCGAGAAGGCUGGGAUAAGUUCGCGAGAGCGGAUAUAGCACCGGUUAAGAUUUUGAACGGCAUGGUUCAUAAGAGAAAGACGGACUUGCUGUGACUUGUAGAGGGUUCCGCGCUGGAUUAGCUAGUUGGUAAGGUAACGGCUUACCAAGGCAACGAUGCGUAGCCGACCUGAGAGGAUGAUCAGCCACACUGGAACUGAGACACGGUCCAGACUCCUACGGGAGGCAGCAGUAGGGAAUAUUCGGCAAUGGGCGAAAGCCUGACGCAGCAACGCCGCGUGUGUGAUGAAGGUCUUCGGAUCGUAAAGCGCUGUUAUUAGGGAGGAAGAUAAGUGUAUGUAUCUGUGCAUGUCUUGACGUUACCUAAACAGAAAGCCACGGCUAACUACGUG